AACCUUAUGGACCUGCGGGCGUAUACCUGCGGAGGGAUCAUUACACAAUAAACAUAUGAAGGCUGCACCGCCAACAGGCGGCAAGGCUGGAGUAUUUUAUUACCCUUGUCUUUUGCGCACUUGUUGUUUCCUGGGCGGGUUCGCCCGCCUCCAGGACCACAUGAUAAACCUUUUUUAUGCAGUUGCAAUCAGCGUCAGUACAACAAAUGUAAAUCAUUUACAACUUUCAACAACGGAUCU
rnacentral:misc_RNA from 1 species